UUUUUAAGUCGGGUAAUUGGAAUGAGUACAAUCUAAAUCCCUUAACGAGGAUCCAUUGGAGGGCGAGUCUGGUGCCAGCAGCCGCGGUAAUUCCAGCUCCAAUAGCAUAUAUAAAAGUUGUUGCNGUUAAAAAGCUCGUAGUUGGAUUUCUGGUAUGAUGCGCCUGGCCCGCUUCGAUUACGAAUGUGUGUGCUAGUGCGCGUCUGCCAUCCAUUUGCAGAAUAUAUCUACCCUUCAUUGGGCCGGAUAUGUGAUGUAAAUCUUUUACUUUGAAAAAAUUAGAGUGUUUAAAGCAGGCAUUUGCUAUGAAUACAUUAGCAUGGAAUAAUAAUCUAGGACUUCGGUUCUAUUUUGUUGGUUUCUAGAUCUGGAGUAAUGAUUGAUAGGGAUAGUUGGGGGUGCUAGUAUUAAGGGGCCAGAGGUGAAAUUCUUGGAUUCUCUUAAGACUAACUUAUGCGAAAGCAUUCACCAAGGAUGUCUUCUUUAAUCAAGAACGAAAGUUGGGGGAUCGAAGACGAUCAGAUACCGUCGUAGUCUCAACCAUAAACUAUGCCAACUAGGGAUGAGUGAACGUUGCAUUUUCGACUUCAUUCGCACCUUAUGAGAAAUCAA
rnacentral:rRNA from 1 species